rnacentral:rRNA from 1 species
UACGUAGGGGGCAAGCGUUGUCCGGAGUUACUGGGCGUAAAGCGUGCGUAGGCGGUUUUGUAAGUUUGGUGUGAAAUCUCCCGGCUCAACUGGGAGGGUGCGCCGAAAACUGCAAGGCUGGAGUAUGGGAGAGGUAGGCGGAAUUCCUGGUGUAGCGGUGAAAUGCGUAGAUAUCAGGAGGAACACCUGUGGUGUAGACGGCUUACUGGACCAUGACUGACGCUGAGGCACGAAAGCGUGGGGAGCAAACAGG